CAAGAACGGAUCGGAAAUCUUACAUUAAGACCCGAUGUUUGCGGAAUCCUCAAACGCUUUUCCGUCAAGGCCUCCAUUUAAGGAUUUCCUUUCUUCCUCAUCACGGACAACCCCCCCAAAGCGAGACACGGGGUAAGGGACUCUCAGAGGUUGUCCCUAGCUUCUGAAGCCUCAGGUUCCACGGAGACAUACUGGUUCCAAACGAGAGACGCAGAUGACUUACAGACAUGUUCACCAAACAUGAAGCAGGCAGACGGCAGCAGGAACACGUGUCUGAAGGCUUUCUAUGGCUAUACUCCAGGAAACAUGUCUCUGCCACAGAGGAGUCAGGAGGACCUCUGGCUACUCAGGUGAUUCUCAAGGGGGACUGGCAUAGAAGAGGACUUAGUUCACUCCCAUCUCAAUUUUGUAACUGCUUCCUGUUAUACAGAUAACACACCACAGAAGUUAUAGACUCUACAAGUCAUCUGCCUAUCACUUGAGCAAUUUGACACCCACAUCCUACAAUCACACAAAGUUUGAAGGAGCACCCACCUACCUAAGAUGCAGACAUCUUUCAAUCUAUCUGAAUAAAGAAGAGUCCAAACUCAA